AUUGAAAGAGUAUAAAACAAGCCUUACUAAAAUAUACUGUACAGUACUGUCAUCAUAAGGCAAAAUCUGUUGAGAAACUUGAAUUUUGACAAUUUAACAUUAUGUAUGUGUAUGAUCAAUGACUACUAGAAAAACUGAUGCCACCAAUCUGGAUAGGCAAAGGGAAUUAUCAUUCCAAGAUGCUGUCCAGGCUUUUUUUAAUGAUGUUUAGCCUGGACGUCAUUAAAUUAGCAAGGAUGGCAUUUUAAAAUGACUACGGUAGUAGCAAUGGGAUGUGGGAUAUAGAAAUCAAGCUUACCGGGUACUGUAGUCUAGGCGCCCUAGGACCUUGAUGAAAAUCUGAGAGGCAAGGGGUGUCCGUGUUGUGCCUGAGAUUGUGUCACCAGAUGAUUGCCCUGCCAGAUGAUUGCCCUGCCACCCUGCCAGAUGAUUGCCCUGCCAGAUGAUUGCCCUGUGUUGAGGCAAUCGGUCAAUGCUAAAAUACAGAAUGUCAACAGUCAUCAGUCUGGUGAACAGCCAUCCAACAAGUACUUAUUUCAAAACCCAACUUGGUUUGGCCUGACUGGAAAGUCUGCACCUGGGCAGUGGACCAUGAACAUGUACAGGACCUCCAGUCUUCAUUCCAAGGGAAUUUUCAUGGGCAGCUAGUGGUUCUAUAUGUCCUUGUUCAGCAGCAGAUGUUGGGGCAAGUUAUGGAUCCGACUUCUUGCCAGAUACAGACAAUUUUGGGAAACCUUACCUGCACUGUGCUGCAAGAACUCAGGUGUUAAAGUGUGAAGACACUUGAUCUAGUGCAGUGCAGUGCCACCUGUAUUGCAACACCAUUUCCAAGAGUGAAUGCCCUAGCCCUCGGUCUCCACCACAACAUCGUGCAGGAAGAGCUGAGGAAGCCACUAUCGUUCAUGGACAAGGCUAUUAUUAUGAGAGAUGUGAGGCCAGACAGAGGACCAUGACUCAAAAAAGAGGACGAGGAGGAUUGGCCUGAUCUUCAGGGAGGAUAACCUGUAAAGUUUUCCCUAUAUAUGGCUGUGGCUUCCUUGAAGACAGCCUCUGGGAGCAGCGUUGCAGAGUGGUGGAGGACAGGCUGUCAACACAUAUUGAAAAGAUACUGAUGAAGGUCCUGCCCGACCGCAAGUGGGAUGCCCUUGAAGCCCUUGAAAAUAGAACCAAAGACUUCAAAAGUUUGAUAUGGCUAAUUAAACACAUCAGUGCCAGUGCUAAGUUUGAAAAUGGGGAGGAGAAGAGCAAGAAGAGAAAGGCUGGAGAUGACAUUGAGUUAUUGCAGGAAAGAGUGAUUGCAAGUUCAGAGGAAUCCUCAACACCACUUGAGUUUAAAGAGUUAAAAGAACUUGAUGAUGAGCUGAAGGAAUCCUUUGGUUGAUUGAAAGAGAAACACUCAAUGAGAGAAGACUUCAGUGAUGGGGAGGAGGUGUCUGCAAAGUGGAUGGAAGAUGGGCAGAGCAUUUGGUAUGAUGCUGUCAUCAUUAAGAAAGAGCAGUACAUAAGGUACUUGACGGACAAACCAAAGUGUAGAGUGGGGAAGACUUCACUGAAGAAAACCUGAGGGGCAAGGACUUAUUUUGCAAAUGAGUAUAUACAAUAAUUAUACAUAUAUAUGGGUUUUCUUCACAUUUCUCCACUGUAUAAAUUGUUCUGCUAUUUUGUGGCAAAUAGACAGAAUAUAGUGAUUAUUACUCUCUUGAUUUUAGUAUAUUUAUUUAAUAGUAAUAAUAUCUGUUGAUAUUUAUGUUUUUAUUUAAUUUCUUGCAGUCAAUUGAACAAAACUGGUUAAGUCCUUGGUAUGGUUAAAGAUGUCCAAAUAUAGCCAGUGAACAACUUUUCCAAGUUUUAUACAAUUAGCUGCUACUGUCUUAUAAUUAAAAGUAAUGAAUUCAUUAUGUGCUUUAAUGCAACGUUGCAGAAUGUAUUAGAUGUUUUGCUUCAAUAUAAUUAUCAAUUUUUAGCUGCAAAAGUUUAUUUUACUGUAGAUUAACACAUAUACAGCAGAUUAAUGAAAUAGGGCAUAGUGAUUGUUAUUUGUUGAAUUGAGCUAAUCUUGAUUUAUGUUAUUGUAUGACAUAUA